rnacentral:rRNA from 1 species
AGAGUUUGAUCCUGGCUCAGAACGAACGCUGGCGGCGUGCUUAACACAUGCAAGUCGAACGGGAUCCAGAGCUUGCUCUGGUGAGAGUGGCGCACGGGUGAGUAACGCGUGGAUAACCUGCCCUGGUAUCCGGAAUAACAUCUCGAAAGGGGUGCUAAUACCGGAUAAGCCUACGGAGCCCUCGGUCUCUGCAGGAAAAGGUGGCCUCUAUUUAUAAGCUACCGUAUCAGGAUGGGUCCGCGUACCAUUAGCUAGUUGGUGGGGUAAUGGCCUACCAAGGCGACGAUGGUUAGCUGGUCUGAGAGGAUGAUCAGCCACACUGGAACUGAGACACAGUCCAGACUCCUACGGGAGGCAGCAGUGGGGAAUUUUGCGCAAUGGGGGAAACCCUGACGCAGCAACGCCGCGUGAGUGAUGAAGGCUUUCGGGUCGUAAAGCUCUGUCAGAGGGGAAGAAAUGAGAUUGGCUAAUAUCCAAUUUUCUUGACGGUACCCUCAAAGGAAGCACCGGCUAACUCCGUGCCAGCAGCCGCGGUAA